GAUGAACGCUAGCGGGAGGCCUAACACAUGCAAGCCGAGCGGUAGAGAUUCUUCGGAAUCUUGAGAGCGGCGUACGGGUGCGGAACACGUGUGCAACCUGCCUUUAUCAGGGGGAUAGCCUUUCGAAAGGAGGAUUAAUACCCCAUAAUAUAUUAAGUGGCAUCACUUGAUAUUGAAAACUCCGGUGGAUAAAGAUGGGCACGCGCAAGAUUAGAUAGUUGGUAGGGUAACGGCCUACCAAGUCAGUGAUCUUUAGGGGGCCUGAGAGGGUGAUCCCCCACACUGGUACUGAGACACGGACCAGACUCCUACGGGAGGCAGCAGUGAGGAAUAUUGGACAAUGGGUGAGAGCCUGAUCCAGCCAUCCCGCGUGAAGGAUGACGGCCCUAUGGGUUGUAAACUUCUUUUGUAUAGGGAUAAACCUUUCCACGUGUGGAAAGCUGAAGGUACUAUACGAAUAAGCACCGGCUAACUCCGUGCCAGCCGCCGCAGUAAAAC
rnacentral:rRNA from 1 species